rnacentral:rRNA from 1 species
AAGAAGGUUUUCGGAUCGUAAAGCUCUGUUGUAAGUCAAGAACGGGUGUGAGAGUGGAAAGUUCACACUGUGACGGUAGCUUACCAGAAAGGGACGGCUAACUACGUGCCAGCAGCCGCGGUAAUACGUAGGUCCCGAGCGUUGUCCGGAUUUAUUGGGCGUAAAGCGAGCGCAGGUGGUUUAUUAAGUCUGGUGUAAAAGGCAGUGGCUCAACCAUUGUAUGCAUUGGAAACUGGUAGACUUGAGUGCAGGAGAGGAGAGUGGAAUUCCAUGUGUAGCGGUGAAAUGCGUAGAUAUAUGGAGGAACACCGGUGGCGAAAGCGGCUCUCUGGCCUGUAACUGACACUGAGGCUCGAAAGCGUGGGGAGCAAACAGGAUUAGAUACCCUGGUAGUCCACGCCGUAAACGAUGAGUGCUAGAUGUAGGGAGCUAUAAGUUCUCUGUAUCGCAGCUAACGCAAUAAGCACUCCGCCUGGGGAGUACGACCGCAAGGUUGAAACUCAAAGGAAUUGACGGGGCCCGCACAAGCGGUGGGUCGACCGG